rnacentral:rRNA from 1 species
GCCAGAGGAAACUCUGGUGGAGGCUCGUAGCGAUACUGACGUGCAAAUCGUUCGUCGAACUUGGGUAUAGGGGCGAAAGACUAAUCGAACCAUCUAGUAGCUGGUUCCCUCCGAAGUUUCUCUCAGGAUAGCAAGGACAGUUAAAGCAGUUUUAAUUAGGUAAAGAAUAAAUGAUUAGAAGCAUCUGGGAGUUUUUAUUUUGCUCUCGACUUAGUUCUCAAACUCUAAAUAUUUGUAAUAACUCGGUAUUUCUUAAUUGAAGAUCGAGGCAGAAUGCUUGUCCUUAGUGGGCCAUUUUUGGUAAGCAGAACUGGCGAUGAGGGAUGAACCUAACUUUGAGUUAAGGUGCCCAACUGCACGCGCAUCAGAUACCACAAAAGGGUGUGUUGAUUCAUUUAGACAGCAGGACGGUGGCCAUGGAAGUUGGAACCCGCUAAGGACUGUGUAACAACUCACCUGCCGAAUGAAUUAGCCCCGAAAAUUUUGAUGGCUCUCCAGCGUGCGACCGAUACUCAAACAUUGCAACGAAAGUCUGAUUGCAAUGAGUAGGAGGGCGUAGGCGUCUUGUCGAAGCUUUGAGCGUGAGCCUGAGUAGA